CGUUCUGUAAGCCUGUGAAGGUGUGUCGUGAGGCAUGCUGGAGGUAUCAGAAGUGCGAAUGCUGACAUAAGUAACGAUAAAGCGGGUGAAAAGCCCGCUCGCCGGAAGACCAAGGGUUCCUGUCCAACGUUAAUCGGGGCAGGGUGAGUCGACCCCUAAGGCGAGGCCGAAAGGCGUAGUCGAUGGGAAACGGGUUAAUAUUCCCGUACUUGGUGUUACUGCGAAGGGGGGACGGAGAAGGCUAUGUUGGCCGGGCGACGGUUGUCCCGGUUUAAGCGUGUAGGUGUGUGUUCCAGGUAAAUCCGGUUCACUUUAACACUGAGGCGUGACGACGAGGCACUACGGUGCUGAAGCAACAAAUGCCCUGCUUCCAGGAAAAGCCUCUAAGCAUCAGGUAACAUCAAAUCGUACCCCAAACCGACACAGGUGGUCAGGUAGAGAAUACCAAGGCGCUUGAGAGAACUCGGGUGAAGGAACUAGGCAAAAUGGUGCCGUAACUUCGGGAGAAGGCACGCUGACACGUAGGUGAAGU
rnacentral:rRNA from 1 species